rnacentral:rRNA from 1 species
UACGUAGGGAGCAAGCGUUGUCCGGAAUCAUUGGGCGUAAAGCGCGCGUAGGUGGCCACAUAAGUCCGUUGUGAAAGUCAAAGGCUCAACCUUUGAAAGCCGAUGGAUACUGUGUGGCUAGAGUACGGAAGAGGCGAGUGGAAUUCCUGGUGUAGCGGUGGAAUGCGCAGAUAUCAGGAGGAACACCGGUGGCGAAGGCGGGUCUCUGGGCCGAUACUGACGCUGAGGAGCGAAAGCGUGGGGAACGAACAGG